ensembl:lncRNA
CUUUUCCGUCUCUUGAGUGCAAGAUAAAGAAGAACGAUGGUGGGCUUUCACAGGAAUACGAUGAAUCCUGACCAUCACGGUGUCUGCAUUGACGGUACAAUACAGGUCAAAGGGAUGAGCUACUCUAUGAAGAACAAGUGGACCUCUUGAAGGCUUGGAGCAUCUGGGCCGACCCGUGAGAUGCUGUAUGCAAACCAGUGGACUUUCUGGAGGUUUGCAGUUUCUUAACAAACUGGGUUGAAUAUGAGCAAUGGACCUUCUGGAGUUGUUAUACAUAUUGAAGUGGAUGGUUUCGUAACAAAUCUGCCGGUAAGUCAAGACUUCAACACAUUUUAUUAAUCUUUCUGUAGUAUAUUACCCAUGGCAGCAUGCUAUCCUAAGGACCUGGGCUUUGUAGCCUCUGGUUCUCCAAGUGCAUGCCAGAGAAACGGGCAGUCUUUGACUGUCCUGGCCUUUGUGCUUGAGGCAGUCACUCUACUGUCCUACAAAUAUUGUAACCUAUUAAUUUUGCCUUGACUGAUUUUAAUUUACAUUUUGCUUUUAUUAACUGCACUUGAGUUCCUCAUGUCUGAUUUCAUCUUUCUGCAGAUGACGCGUCAGUGUGGUGUUGCCCCAAUCAAAGUCGUCUGGGAAGUGUUGUCAAGGUGUGAACCAAUUAGUCAUUUUUUUUGAAGGACCUGUUCUGAUCAAUGAUGACACCUUACUGUGUGACUGUUGGAUGAAACCUGCGGAUAUGGGACUUAGAUCACAGCUACUCUAAAACUGCUAUGAUGGGGCAUAUGAGGACACUAACUUGUAUUUUAUUCUAAGGCCUUGCAACUGGUGACAUGCGUGACAGCAUUGUCAAAUUCCACAUCACAACACGAUGCACGCCGGUACUCGUGUGUAGGUAUGUAGUUGACUAGUUCCUGACUCCUCGACAGGUUGUUCUGAUCAAUGAUUGAUAACAAAACUUGAAAUUGUGACUGUUGGAUGAAACAUGCGGAUAUGGGACUGAGAUCAGGACUCAUGGCAAGUAGUGACAUUUGGAUGAGUCUUCUGGAACUAAAAUCAUACCCCUGUAUUUCUGUUUUGUUAUUAGAUGUGCUAAGAUGGCUGAAGACCAGUCUGGACCAAGGGCUUUCUGGCCUGCCCCUUCAGUUAGAAGAAACCCAACGAGUCUAUUUUAAAUAAACUCUCAAAACCUUGAA